GAUGAAGAACGCAGCGAAAUGCGAUAAGUAAUGUGAAUUGCAGAAUUCAGUGAAUCAUCGAAUCUUUGAACGCACAUUGCGCCCCCUGGUAUUCCGGGGGGCAUGCCUGUUCGAGCGUCAUUUCAACCCUCAAGCUCUGCUUGGUAUUGGGCGUCGCCGGGGAGUCUCCCCGGCGUGCCUCAAAGCCAUCGGCGGUGGUGCCUUUCUCUAAGCGUGGUAGAAUUUUUAUUCGCUUCUGAGUUGGGCUUCGCCUGCCGGACAAACCGGGCCCUCGCGGCCCACCUUCUCAGGUUGACCUCGGAUCAGGUAGGGAUACCUGCUGAACUUAAGCAUAUCAAUAAGCGGAGGA
rnacentral:misc_RNA from 1 species